UCUCCUUUGGAUCUUUUUGCGGUCUGGGCUUGCUGUUCCUCUCAACAGUAGUCAGGAAGCCCUUACCCCAAAAAGUAUCUGCGGGAGGC
rnacentral:pre_miRNA from 10 species